UUUUGCUAUUAUCAAUAAGCGGAGGAAAAGAAAACUAACAAAGGAUUUCCCCUAGUAGCGGCGAGCGAAAGCGGGAAGAGCUCAAAUUUAUAAUCUGGCACCUUCGGUGUCCGAGUUGUAAUCUCUAGAAAUGUUUUCCGCGUUGGACCGCACACAAGUCUGUUGGAAUACAGCGGCAUAGUGGUGAGACCCCCGUAUAUGGUGCGGACGCCCAGCGCUUUGUGAUACAUUUUCGAAGAGUCGAGUUGUUUGGGAAUGCAGCUCAAAUUGGGUGGUAAAUUCCAUCUAAAGCUAAAUAUUGGCGAGAGACCGAUAGCGAACAAGUACCGUGAGGGAAAGAUGAAAAGCACUUUGGAAAGAGAGUUAACAGUACGUGAAAUUGUUGGAAGGGAAACGCUUGAAGUCAGACUUGCUUGCUGAGCAAUCGGUUUGCAGGCCAGCAUCAGUUUUCCGGGAUGGAUAAUGGUAGAGAGAAGGUAGCAGUUUCGGCUGUGUUAUAGCUCUCUGCUGGAUACAUCUUGGGGGACUGAGGAACGCAGUGUGCCUUUGGCGGGGGUUUCGACCUCUUCACACUUAGGAUGCUGGUGGAAUGGCUUUAAACGACCCGUCUUGAAACACGGACCAA
rnacentral:rRNA from 1 species